UGGGGAAUUUUGGACAAUUGGGCGAAAGCCUGAUCCAGCAAUGCCGCGUGUGUGAAGAAGGCCUUCGGGUUGUAAAGCACUUUUGUCCGGAAAGAAAUCCUUGGCUCUAAUACAGUCGGGGGAUGACGGUACCGGAAGAAUAAGCACCGGCUAACUACGUGCCAGCAGCCGCGGUAAUACGUAGGGUGCAAGCGUUAAUCGGAAUUACUGGGCGUAAAGCGUGCGCAGGCGGUUUUGCUAAGACCGAUGUGAAAUCCCCGGGCUCAACCUGGGAACUGCAUUGGUGACUGGCAGGCUAGAGUAUGGCAGAGGGGGGUAGAAUUCCACGUGUAGCAGUGAAAUGCGUAGAGAUGUGGAGGAAUACCGAUGGCGAAGGCAGCCCCCUGGGCCAAUAUGACGCUCAUGCACGAAAGCGUGGGGAGCAAACAGGAUUAGAUACCCUGGUAGUCCACGCCCUAAACGAUGUCAACUAGUUGUUGGGGAUUCAUUUCCUUAGUAACGUAGCUAACGCGUGAAGUUGACCGCCUGGGGAGUACGGUCGCAAGAUUAAAACUCAAAUGAAUUGAC
rnacentral:rRNA from 1 species